rnacentral:rRNA from 1 species
GGUUAAGCGACUAAGCGUACACGGUGGAUGCCCUGGCAGUCAGAGGCGAUGAAGGGCGUGCUAAUCUGCGAUAAGCGCCGGUAAGGUGAUAUGAACCGUUAUAACCGGCGAUACCCGAAUGGGGAAACCCAGUGUGAUUCGUCACACUAUCAUUAACUGAAUCCAUAGGUUAAUGAGGCGAACCGGGGGAACUGAAACAUCUAAGUACCCCGAGGAAAAGAAAUCAACCGAGAUUCCCCCAGUAGCGGCGAGCGAACGGGGAGGAGCCCAGAGCCUGAAUCAGCAUGUGUGUUAGUGGAAGCGUCUGGAAAGGCGCGCGAUACAGGGUGACAGCCCCGUACACAAAAGCGCAUGUGCUGUGAGCUCGAUGAGUAGGGCGGGACACGUGGUAUCCUGUCUGAAUAUGGGGGGACCAUCCUCCAAGGCUAAAUACUCCUGACUGACCGAUAGUGAACCAGUACCGUGAGGGAAAGGCGAAAAGAACCCCGGCGAGGGGAGUGAAAAAGAACCUGAAACCGUGUACGUACAAGCAGUGGGAGCACCCUUUGGGUGUGACUGCGUACCUUUUGUAUAAUGGGUCAGCGACUUAUAUUCUGU